GGGGUUGUGGCUCCGUGGUAGAGCGCUUGCCUAGCAUGUAUGAGGCACUGGGUUUGAUUACCAGAACCACA
rnacentral:tRNA from 1 species